GUACAUUAUCCUGGGAUUGCUGGUCCUGAUCCGGAGCACCCUUAGCCGUUGGGAUUGAGUGUGGUUCCCACUAGCCCCUCUGCGUUAUGAUAAAUUCCCGACCAAAUUUUACAGUACCAUCGCUGUUAGCGAUAGUUUUGUUGGGGAAAAAAAGGCAUUGUCUCACUCGUGUGGUAAUAUCUAUGGAGGAAUAUGGCACUGAUGUGGGUUCAUGAAGCAUGUUACAAACGUCUUCCAUUUAUUUAAAGGAACUCUUCACUGCCAAAAUGCAAAAUAAAAACACUGUUUAGUA